GUGUGUGUGUGUGUGUGUGUGUGUGUGUGUGCAGACGCCAGGGAGGAGUGAGGGGAGUGGUAGGUCUGGCAACCUGCUGGCUCCACCCCCAAGCCAUAUAUGGACUUCCUCCCUCUAACGAGGCAAGCCUGGGGAUCGUUAGGCUGGGGUGCUUGGGGUUAAGAGGGCUAGCAAACAGACAUGUGGGGAAGUUGGAGUUGGAAGAGGAGCUAGAGAAGCUAGGGCUAGCAGAGGACAGGCAGGAUCUGUGUGAUCGCCUGGAAGCACGGAACGCCCUGAGAGAGAGAGAGAGAGAGAGAGAGAGAGAGAGAGAGAGAGAGAGAGAGAGAGAGAGAGAGAGAGAGAGAGAGAGAGAGAGAGAGAGAGAGAGAGAGAGAGAGAGAGAGAGAGAGAGAGAGAGAGAGAGAGAGAGAGAGAGAGAGAGAGAGAGAGAGAGAGAGAUGGAAGGUGUUGGACGACUGGAGCAUAUAGGAGGUCUAUCAUGGAUAUUUAACUGCAGUUCUGUGAGUAUCCCACCUUAACCAUGAAGAUGAACUGCAAACUGUAAGUCAUUAGUUUCUCAUUACUCUUGGGCACAUUGUAUUUUGGCUUCCUGGUGAGUUAACCCGUUACCUGAAGGUUGAUCUGUGUAGUAAAGAUGUUUUAUUGGUUCAUGGGUCAUUUAGGUGUUUGGUUUAUGUUGGUUUUAAUGAUUUGUUAAAAUGGUUACAGGCUCCAAGUUAUUGUUGUAAGAUUGAGUAAUGGGUUGGGUUCUGAUAUCUUCAGUCUUCUUUCCAGUUGCUCUCCUGAGCUCUGCAUCUUCACCACAUGAGUUGCUUUACUGAGGAGGGUGUGGUCUGAGUGAGCAGAGGUGCAUACUGGGAUACAGAGCUGUCUGAAGUCUACAGGUCUGUAGACGCGCCCGCUCAGGGGAAACCGAGUGUUUGAGAAACCGUCGUGACGUCAGUUACAUUGACUGGAAUGUUCUUUAAGAUGGAGACUGGGAUUCAGAAGGAGAAACACCAGGGAGAGAUGAGGGGGCUCCUCAUCUCAACGACUAAAACACAACUUCAGUCUGACAAAGAGAACCAUGGAACACAUUCAACAGUCCCCUCCAGGCAUCCUGACUCCUCCAGGAAUGGUUUUUCCAAGAAGAUCUUAUUUGGGGCCACUCCAAGAUGGAUCCUGCUCCUCAAGAGCCACCCCCCUCCACUGGGUGGUCUUCUGAACAGAUGAUCUCCUUCCUGUCCUCAGGCUGACUAAAGCUGCACCGUUUGCAUCUGUGAAGGCCCCUCAUUCAGGAAACCACUGGACUACAAAGACAUGACUUCAGAGAUGUUAAAUCAACCUGGGAGACAUUUUUGGAGACGCCAAGCAUAAUCCAUCACCAAUGUGGGACGCCACUGAAGAAUGUUGUACAUAAUUUACGUCUUUGGAGACAUUGGUUGUUCUGUUCUGGGUGCCCUGGCAGGAGAGCUGGGGUUGGAUGAUGGAAUGUAAUUUGGCAUGAGGUUUUUACCCUGCAUGAUUGUUUGGCCUUUUAUGGCUCGGUGGUGUGUGUGUUUGGGUUUGACAUGAGAUGGAUGAUUUUUGAGCGUCUCCAGGGUUCUACUGUGUGUGUCUCCCACUCACACCUGGCAUGGGGUUCUACGUGCCUGUCCUGGGUUCUAUGUGUGUGUGUGUCCGGCUUGCUUCGACAGUGAUCAUGUUCAUACGGGGUUCUGUGUGAUUGGCUUGGGAUAUUGGAAUGGUCGAUUAAAUCAUACCUGAUGAAUGGUCACAUGUUUACUUAAGGGCCUCCAGUAGACAUGAAGAGCCCUGAGCGACACUCCGGAGUGAUAUCCAACACGCUGGGCAGGAAGGAGAGUAUUCAACUCAAGUGUAAAAGGAUGCAAGCGGCGUGUUCAGAUCAGUGACUUCAAACUAGGACUUCACCAAUCAGGAUCAACGGAGGAUGGACAACUAAAGGCAUUCCACAAGGAGAGUCUGAAGUUGGAAAGGGACCUAUAUGGAUAUUCAAGAUGACCUUCAGACCUGUAAUGAGACGGCUCUUCCUACCUGGGUGGAUUGAUGGAGAACCCUGUGGAUCUUGUCUUGCUCUCAGUUGCACGUCUUCUCAGGCUGAACUGUGUUUGUUUCGGACAGGACCAGCUGAACGAGUUGUGCUCUUCAGCUGAGGAGGUAAGGAAACCUUCACUGGGGCUUCAAGGUGUAAAGAGGAGAAUGUUUCAAAGUGUUCCAUGGUACUCUGAUGAGGACUGUUGUUGUGCUCCACUGGCUGAGAAGAAGAACCCUCACAUCUUCCUCUUGGCCUUUCUCCUCUGAGAAUCCUGGCGCCAUCUUGAAGGAUAUUCAAGCUCAUGUAACUGAUGUCACGACAGAUUCUCAAACACUUGGUUUCUCCUGAGGGGCGUGUCUAUAGAACUGAAGACUUCAGACAGCACUGUAUCCCAGCAUGCAUCUCUGCUCACUCAGACCACACCCCCAUGAGUAUGAUGCAACACUCUAGUGAUGGAGAUGUAGAGUUUUAUAAGUAACGAGGGAGUAGACAAAGGUGAUCAGAACACAAUGGCAUGUCAAGUCUGUAAAUCUUUAAACCAUGAAGACGGUUGGAUAGUUUAGGAAUUGGGCUUCUUUAUAUUAUGGGCAGUCCUUUCACUCAGAUGCCCACUUCUCACUGCACCUGUACAUGUGUUGGCUGGCUGGCAUGAUUUGCUGUUGGUGUUGAGGCGGUCAGGGUGACGUUGCAGGGCUAUGGUCGGCUCUCUGUGAGCUCAACGUUUAGAUUUGCUCUGUACGGUUUGUAGUGUACCCUGAAUAAUCUAGAUAAUUGUAAAAUGUAGACACGGUUUUGUAUUGAAUGAUUCCAGGAUUUUAGGUUUAAAGUUAUUGCGGGACGUACAUGGUAGUUUGGUUAAUGGUUUUGAGUGAUAUAACUUGUACUCACUGGGUGCAUUAUAAUGUAAAGGUACACUGAAUAGUAGUAAUUACCAACAGCAACAAACAGAUCUCCUCAAGGUAAGUCUGUUGGCUGUGUUUUAUUGAAGACCAUCGCUGGACUUCAGGAUCUUCCUCCGUUCAGCUCAAGGUGAGGCGCUGGUUCUGUUUUUUCUUUGGUUGGUUCUGGCUGGAAUGUUCGGAUUCCAGUCGGACGGUUUGUGCUUCCCGCCGUGGAAGGUUCUGAGUGUGGUCACUUGAUUUAGUCCUAAUGGUUAGCAUAGAAUGUUGUAGUCUUGAUAACGAUAAGAAACCACCUGGCAGUUAGUUGGUCAGGAGACCCCUGAGGGAAUCUGGCGGAACGUUCUGGAUUGUAUUUGCGUAACCUCGAGCCGUUGCCAACGGAAACUAUUUCAGUCGGUUUCCAUUUGGAAUUGUUGCCCCUUAUCUUAAACAACUUAGUUUGAUAUUAAAUACAUACUGACGCGUACGUCGUACAAUAUGUUGAUAAUUUCCGAUGGUUGCGCCGUAAUUUUAACAACGUUGACGUGACGAGACUCUCGCUGCGUACAAAACGGCGUUCUACUUGCGGGCCCAAUUUUGACAUCAGUGAAGGCUGAAAAUCAUUUCAAGAUGGAAGACAAUUUGACAUUUCUUCAACGGAACCCAGCACCUGAAUAUGGCUGAGUAUAUUUGAUUUAAUAUCGAUACUGCUUGGUGUUCUUUGUUACUUCAGCUUUUGUACGUUCUAAAUAUUUGCUGUCAUUAAUUGCCACAGAAGUUAAACCCUACCCAAUGGAAUGACGUUAAACAAUGACUUUGGUGCAGAGUUACCAACUGGAUAAUAUCAAAGCUAAUAUAAUGGCCGUCCUUCCCACAUGUUACAGUAGAAGAUACUCUAGAACUGUACAAGGUUAAAAAGUUAACAUGUAGUUUGUCCCAAGGUGUCUGCCUCCUCACCCAGAGCCAGACCUCCACCUCCUCACCCAGAGCCAGACCUCCACCUCCUCACCCAGAGCCAGACCUCCACCUCCUCACCCAGAGCCAGACCUCCACCUCCUGUCAGAAGUCCUCCAGAACAGCUGAAAGGCGAGGCUGAGAGGCUGGGGACCGGAGGCUUGUGGUGCCAGGAUGGACCGGAGACUGAGGCUGGAGACCAGGGGCCUGCAGCACCGGACCAGAGGACCAGGAAUCCAUGGCUGAAGGAGCUGAUGGAGGAGCCGUGCUGAAGGAGCUGAUGGAGGAGACGUGCUGAAGGCCCUGCCUGGUGGAGGAGCUGGUGGAGGCCCUGCCUGGUGAAGGAUGUCUGUCGUGAGGUAGAUGGAGCCUGACUCUGAAGUGAUCAUCACACUCACUGCCACUUCUCGUAGAAUACUCCUACCACAAACUACCGGCGUUUGUACCAUAUAUACCAGACGACUACAUCUGUUUUACCACAUGUUGAAGCAAGGCUUCCGCUGU